UAUUUAAUAGCUGCAGUAUUUUGACUGUACAAAGGUAGCAUAAUUAUUUGUCUUUUAAUUGGGGACUGGUAUGAAUGGUUGAAUGAAAUAUAUACUUUUUUUAUUUUUUUUGUAAAAAUUAAUUUUUUAGUCAAAAAGCUAAAAUUUUUUUGAGGGACGAGAAGACCCUAUAGAACUUUAUUAAUUAGUUGGAUAGUUGAAUUUAUAAUAUAAUUUUGAUUUUGUGAUUAAUUAAUUUGAUUGGGGUGAUUGAAAAAAAUUAAUAACUUUUUUUUAUUAAAUUCAUUUAUAUAUGGAAUUUUGAUCCAAUUUUUUUGAUUAUAAGAUUAAGUUACCUUAGGGAUAACAGCGUUAUUUUUUCAUAGAGUUCUUAUCGAUGAAAAAGAUUGCGACCUCGAUGUUGGAUUAAAAUUUAUUUUAGGUGUAGGGAUUUAUUGAUUGAGUC
rnacentral:rRNA from 1 species